rnacentral:rRNA from 1 species
AGAGUUUGAUCCUGGCUCAGAUUGAACGCUGGCGGCAUGCUUUACACAUGCAAGUCGAACGGCAGCACGGGGGCAACCCUGGUGGCGAGUGGCGAACGGGUGAGUAAUAUAUCGGAACAUAUCCGGAAGUGGGGGAUAACGUACCGAAAGGUACGCUAAUACCGCAUAUGCCCUGAGGGGGAAAGGGGGGGAUCGCAAGACCUCUCGCUUUCGGAGUGGCCGAUAUCGGAUUAGCUAGUUGGUGAGGUAAAGGCUCACCAAGGCGACGAUCCGUAGCUGGUCUGAGAGGACGACCAGCCACACUGGAACUGAGACACGGUCCAGACUCCUACGGGAGGCAGCAGUGGGGAAUUUUGGACAAUGGGCGAAAGCCUGAUCCAGCCAUGCCGCGUGAGUGAAGAAGGCCUUCGGGUUGUAAAGCUCUUUCAGCCGGAAAGAAAUUGCUUCUAUUAAUACUAGGAGUAGAUGACGGUACCGGAAGAAGAAGCACCGGCUAACUACGUGCCAGCAGCCGCGGUAAUACGUAGGGUGCGAGCGUUAAUCGGAAUUACUGGGCGUAAAGCGUGCGCAGGCGGUUUGGUAAGACAGACGUGAAAUCCCCGGGCUUAACCUGGGAACUGCGUUUGUGACUGUCAGACUAGAGUGUAGCAGAGGGGGGUAGAAUUCCACGUGUAGCAGUGAAAUGCGUAGAUAUGUGGAGGAAUACCAAUGGCGAAGGCAGCCCCCUGGGUUAACACUGACGCUCAUGCACGAAAGCGUGGGGAGCAAACAGGAUUAGAUACCCUGGUAGUCC